rnacentral:lncRNA from 1 species
CUUCACGUCCCGAACACGACGAGUACGUGAGCGCCGAGGGGAAGGAGGUGACACUCUGGCCGAGGCCCUGACCUCGGGCGCCCAGAUGAAGACAUGAAAGCAAGCAGAGGAAUGGAUUAUAGGAACUGAAGACGAGAGGAGAAUCCCUAAGAAAGUUCGUCAAGGGGGCUAAGAUGCCCUGGUGAUGACACUUAGUGAAGGUGUGUCACUAUGUGCCUGAAAAUUCCACAGAGUUAAUAGCAAAAGUGACCAAGAAGUAGCAUUCAAACUUAGACUAUGUGUGGGGGGGGGAGGGGUCCUUCCAGCC